CGAUCUGUUGCGGGCAGAUGAAGUGGAUAUGGCUGUCGAAGCCGCCGGCGGUCAGGAUGCGGCCCUCGCCCGCGAUGGCCUCGGUGCCCGGUCCGAUGACGAUAUCGACACCGGGCUGCGUGUCCGGGUUGCCCGCCUUGCCGAUCGCGGCGAUGCGCCCGUCGCGCAGGCCGAUAUCGGCCUUGACGAUGCCGGUAUGGUCGACGAUCAGCGCAUUGGUGAUGACGGUAUCGACGGCACCGUCCGCGCGCGUGGUCUGGGACUGGCCCAUGCCGUCCCG
rnacentral:sRNA from 1 species